UAACAGUCUACAGCCAUGGUUG
rnacentral:miRNA from 6 species